rnacentral:rRNA from 1 species
GGGUUGUGAGGUUAAGCGACUAAGCGUACACGGUGGAUGCCCUGGCAGUCAGAGGCGAUGAAGGACGUGCUAAUCUGCGAUAAGCGUCGGUAAGGUGAUAUGAACCGUUAUAACCGGCGAUUUCCGAAUGGGGAAACCCAGUGUGAUUCGUCACACUAUCAUUAACUGAAUCCAUAGGUUAAUGAGGCGAACCGGGGGAACUGAAACAUCUAAGUACCCCGAGGAAAAGAAAUCAACCGAGAUUCCCCCAGUAGCGGCGAGCGAACGGGGAGCAGCCCAGAGCCUGAAUCAGUGUGUGUGUUAGUGGAAGCGUCUGGAAAGGCGCGCGAUACAGGGUGACAGCCCCGUACACAAAAAUGCACAUACUGUGAGCUCGAUGAGUAGGGCGGGACACGUGGUAUCCUGUCUGAAUAUGGGGGGACCAUCCUCCAAGGCUAAAUACUCCUGACUGACCGAUAGUGAACCAGUACCGUGAGGGAAAGGCGAAAAGAACCCCGGCGAGGGGAGUGAAAAAGAACCUGAAACCGUGUACGUACAAGCAGUGGGAGCCUCUUUUAUGGGGUGACUGCGUACCUUUUGUAUAAUGGGUCAGCGACUUAUAUUCUGUAGCAAGGUUAACCGAAUAGGGGAGCCGAAGGGAAACCGAGUCUUAACUGGGCGUUAAGUUGCAGGGUAUAGACCCGAAACCCGGUGAUCUAGCCAUGGGCAGGUUGAAGGUUGGGUAACACUAACUGGAGGACCGAACCGACUAAUGUUGAAAAAUUAGCGGAUGACUUGUGGCUGGGGGUGAAAGGCCAAUCAAACCGGGAGAUAGCUGGUUCUCCCCGAAAGCUAUUUAGGUAGCGCCUCGUGAAUUCAUCUCCGGGGGUAGAGCACUGUUUCGGCAAGGGGGUCAUCCCGACUUACCAACCCGAUGCAAACUGCGAAUACCGGAGAAUGUUAUCACGGGAGACACACGGCGGGUGCUAACGUCCGUCGUGAAGAGGGAAACAACCCAGACCGCCAGCUAAGGUCCCAAAGUCAUGGUUAAGUGGGAAACGAUGUGGGAAGGCCCAGACAGCCAGGAUGUUGGCUUAGAAGCAGCCAUCAUUUAAAGAAAGCGUAAUAGCUCACUGGUCGAGUCGGCCUGCGCGGAAGAUGUAACGGGGCUAAACCAUGCACCGAAGCUGCGGCAGCGACACUAUGUGUUGUUGGGUAGGGGAGCGUUCUGUAAGCCUGUGAAGGUGUGCUGUGAGGUAUGCUGGAGGUAUCAGAAGUGCGAAUGCUGACAUAAGUAACGAUAAAGCGGGUGAAAAGCCCGCUCGCCGGAAGACCAAGGGUUCCUGUCCAACGUUAAUCGGGGCAGGGUGAGUCGACCCCUAAGGCGAGGCCGAAAGGCGUAGUCGAUGGGAAACAGGUUAAUAUUCCUGUACUUGGUGUUACUGCGAAGGGGGGACGGAGAAGGCUAUGUUGGCCGGGCGACGGUUGUCCCGGUUUAAGCGUGUAGGCUGGUUUUCCAGGCAAAUCCGGAAAAUCAAGGCUGAGGCGUGAUGACGAGGCACUACGGUGCUGAAGCAACAAAUGCCCUGCUUCCAGGAAAAGCCUCUAAGCAUCAGGUAACAUCAAAUCGUACCCCAAACCGACACAGGUGGUCAGGUAGAGAAUACCAAGGCGCUUGAGAGAACUCGGGUGAAGGAACUAGGCAAAAUGGUGCCGUAACUUCGGGAGAAGGCACGCUGAUAUGUAGGUGAAGCGACUUGCUCGUGGAGCUGAAAUCAGUCGAAGAUACCAGCUGGCUGCAACUGUUUAUUAAAAACACAGCACUGUGCAAACACGAAAGUGGACGUAUACGGUGUGACGCCUGCCCGGUGCCGGAAGGUUAAUUGAUGGGGUCAGCGCAAGCGAAGCUCUUGAUCGAAGCCCCGGUAAACGGCGGCCGUAACUAUAACGGUCCUAAGGUAGCGAAAUUCCUUGUCGGGUAAGUUCCGACCUGCACGAAUGGCGUAAUGAUGGCCAGGCUGUCUCCACCCGAGACUCAGUGAAAUUGAACUCGCUGUGAAGAUGCAGUGUACCCGCGGCAAGACGGAAAGACCCCGUGAACCUUUACUAUAGCUUGACACUGAACAUUGAGCCUUGAUGUGUAGGAUAGGUGGGAGGCUUUGAAGUGUGGACGCCAGUCUGCAUGGAGCCGACCUUGAAAUACCACCCUUUAAUGUUUGAUGUUCUAACGUGGACCCGUGAUCCGGGUUGCGGACAGUGUCUGGUGGGUAGUUUGACUGGGGCGGUCUCCUCCUAAAGAGUAACGGAGGAGCACGAAGGUUGGCUAAUCCUGGUCGGACAUCAGGAGGUUAGUGCAAUGGCAUAAGCCAGCUUGACUGCGAGCGUGACGGCGCGAGCAGGUGCGAAAGCAGGUCAUAGUGAUCCGGUGGUUCUGAAUGGAAGGGCCAUCGCUCAACGGAUAAAAGGUACUCCGGGGAUAACAGGCUGAUACCGCCCAAGAGUUCAUAUCGACGGCGGUGUUUGGCACCUCGAUGUCGGCUCAUCACAUCCUGGGGCUGAAGUAGGUCCCAAGGGUAUGGCUGUUCGCCAUUUAAAGUGGUACGCGAGCUGGGUUUAGAACGUCGUGAGACAGUUCGGUCCCUAUCUGCCGUGGGCGCUGGAGAACUGAGGGGGGCUGCUCCUAGUACGAGAGGACCGGAGUGGACGCAUCACUGGUGUUCGGGUUGUCAUGCCAAUGGCACUGCCCGGUAGCUAAAUGCGGAAGAGAUAAGUGCUGAAAGCAUCUAAGCACGAAACUUGCCCCGAGAUGAGUUCUCCCUGACUCCUUGAGAGUCCUGAAGGAACGUUGAAGACGACGACGUUGAUAGGCCGGGUGUGUAAGCGCAGCGAUGCGUUGAGCUAACCGGUACUAAUGAACCGUGAGGCUUAACCUUACAACGCCGAAGCUGUU